GGAACGGUGGCCGAGAGGCUUAAGGCGCAGGUUUGCUAAACCUGAGUAGGGGGUAAACUUCUACCGAGGGUUCGAAUCCCUCCCGUUCCGCCC
rnacentral:tRNA from 1 species